rnacentral:rRNA from 1 species
AUUGAACGCUGGCGGCAGGCCUAACACAUGCAAGUCGAACGGUAACAGGAAACAGCUUGCUGUUUCGCUGACGAGUGGCGAACGGGUGAGUAAUGUCUGGGAAACUGCCUGAUGGAGGGGGAUAACUACUGGAAACGGUAGCUAAUACCGCAUAACGUCGCAAGACAAAAGAGGGGGACCUUCGGGCCCCUUGCCAUCGGAUGUGCCCAGAUGGGAUUAGCUUGUUGGUGGGGUAACGGCUCACCAAGGCGACGAUCCCUAGCUGGUCUGAGAGGAGGACCAGCCACACUGGAACUGAGACACGGUCCAGACUCCUACGGGAGGCAGCAGUGGGGAAUAUUGCACAAUGGGCGCAAGCCUGAUGCAGCCAUGCCGCGUGUAUGAAGAAGGCCUUCGGGUUGUAAAGUACUUUCAGCGGGGAGGAAGGGAGUAAAGUUAAUACCUUUGCUCAUUGACGUUACCCGCAGAAGAAGCACCGGCUAACUCCGUGCCAGCCGCCGCCGUAA